rnacentral:lncRNA from 1 species
GGUUAAGUUAGAGCGUAGUUGGUUCUCCCGUUUCCCUGUGGAUACGAUAAAACCUUUAACCGGGUAAAAGCUACAACGGUAUCCGUGCGCUUGCGGAUUUAUUUGUGUGCGUAUAAAUACCAUAGUACACUCUAGUGCCAUGCUGGGGAUGACAACCUAGUAUUCAAGUGGUGUUAGCAAGUGUCAACAAGCUUUUUGACGCC